rfam:Arabis alpina cultivar Pajares scaff_53573_1_contig_1, whole genome shotgun sequence.
GGGUGCGAUCAUACCAGCACAAAUGCACCGGAUCCAAUCAGACCACCGCAGUUAAGUGUGCUUGGGCGAGAGUAGUACUAGGAUGGGUGACCUCUUGGGAAGUCCUCGUGUUGCACCCC